rnacentral:lncRNA from 10 species
CCCUGCGUGCCUGCGUGGAGACAAUGGGCCCCGCGAGCGUGUGUGCUGCCAGCUGCUCUGGAACAAUGGGGCCCUUUAUGUCGCUCGUGCACCUCAGCACGGAUUUAGUAAUGUUUUGAUUUAUCAAGGACAAGCGUCAGCAGGCAGGAGAGAGGCUGUUUAUACCUAAGAGCUGCUUUUCCGUGAGGUCUGUAGUGAAGAUUAAACACUUGAAGACCGACCUUCAGGAACCCCAAAUACUCCAACCACCUGCCGAACACAGGGCAGUUACUGACGAACUCCGGCAGUUCUCCAACCACGGCCCAGCAAAGCCAGGUGCACACGCUGCCUACCACAGUGCCAUCUCUACAGUUUAUUGACGUAGAAAAGAGAGUCAUGUGUCUCUAUAACUUUAAAAAUAUUACCUUUGUGAUAGUUUGCUGAGAAUGAUGGUUUCCAGUUUCAUCCAUGUCCCUACAAAGGACAUGAACUCAUCACUUUUUAUGGCUGCAUAGUAUUCCAUGGUGGAUAUGUGCCACAUUUUCUUAAUCCAGUCUAUCGUUGUUGGACAUUUAGGUUGGUUCCAAGUCUUUGCUAUUGUGAAUAGUGCCACAAUAAACAUACGUGUGCAUGUGUCUUUAUAGCAGCAUGAUUUAAGGACAAAAAAACCAAACACCGCAUGUUCUCACUCUUAGGUGGGAAUUGAACAAUGAGAACACA